GGGGCAGGAAGGGGUGUGAGGCAGGGCGGAAGAGAGCAGGGCCCUGGGCAGGUGCUGAGCCAGGUCCUGCAGGUCACCCAGUCGCUUGAGUCCACGAAUGCUGGAGGCAGGCACUGGAGAGCCAGGGUGGUUCAGCCGCAGCUCCUCUGAGCAGGGAGUCAAACAGGGCUGAAACAGACACCAGCUCUCCAGGACCAGCUGGAGCCUGGACCUGUGGCCUUCCCUGCCUCCACCUGGGCCUCAACCGUCACGACCACCUGGCCUUUGAGAAAUCAAAUGGCUCACGCUGUGUCUCAGAGCUGCAACGAUCCAACGCCCUCCAUCCUUCAGAGGCUGUCUGAGUCCGGGGACACAACUCCCACCCUCCUCUCCUGCCAGCCGCGGCCCGUGGCUGCUCUCUUCACUUCGUCCCGCUUCGCCCCGACUGUGGAUCUACCCGCUCCCUUCUCCCUCAGUCCCCAAAGCACCAGACUCACAGGCCUGCUGUGUGACCCACUUUUACCGACCUUUCGGGGAGAGUAGAGGGCAUUUGUGACUCAGCUCAGAGCAGGAAACACAUCUCACGUCAACUGUCAGACAGCGCUGCUCCGAAUCCCAUCACAGUGCUCCAGCAGGGGGCGUCCUCACCGGCCGCGGCCACAGCCACGGCUCAACCCGGCCUAGCUCCCAGACACCCUCCUUCCACCGCCUGUUUUCCACCGUCCCCGCCUGCUCUUUCAAGCCAGCAGCAAACAACACCCUAAUCCGUGUCUUUAUUAUUCAAAGACCUUAAGCACUCUUUCCCACCUCGUUCCCAUCUUGAUUAUUUCAGGGAAUGAAUUAGGGAUUCACCUUUACAAUCAAAAAAGUUCUCUCAAAGCCAGGCUACUGGAGUUCUAAUUCUGCCUUCCCACUUUUACUAGCUGUGAAAUCUCAGGAAAGUUACUUAACCUCUCUCUGUCUCAUUUUCCUCAUCUUUAAAAAACAGGAUGAUAAUAUUUAGCUCCUAAGAUGGUUGUGAGGAUUUAAGUGAGCUGAUAUAUCCAAGAAUGUCUAGAACAGCGCGUGGCAGAAUGGGCAUUGCAUAUGGGUUUAAUCUUGUAACUGCCAUGUUUCACCAAUUCUAAGGUGUAUCUCGUUUCUCAUCAUAAGAGCUCUUCCGCUCGUGUGGCAGCUGGGAGUGGCCGUCAUUGCCUGCGCAUACCUAAACUUGGUCAGCAGCCAAGUGUUUUGUGAGACCUAAGAAAGGAAGAGCCCCAUAAGUAAAUGGAACUGUUGUGUUGUUUUAUUACCGAGAAAAGGGCAGAAUGAUUGCUAGUCACACGUGAAGCAAGAAAACCCCGGCAAUAAAGCUUGCAGAAUGAGUGGCUGAGGCUUGAAAAUAAAUGGUGGAAACAAUAGUGGACAAUCUUUUAAAGAAUGGCACAUUGCCAAUGCUCCUGAUGGCACAGAAGGUGACACCAUGCAGAAAAUCAAGGCUCUGAGUCAAAGAGGGUUUCAGAAAAAUUGGACUCUGAAUGUGAAGAAAUCUGGGGACUAUUUUAGCCAAUUUGUUUUGCCUAUAAUUUCCUUUUAUGCAUGCAAAAGAGCAAUUCUGACUUUAAAGACUGAUAUCUAAAUAAAUCUAAAAUAUCUUUUUUGUGUGUGUGUCUGUGAUACAGUGUCUCGCCCUUUCACCCAGGCUGGAGUGCAGUAGUGCAAUCUCAGCUCACU
rnacentral:lncRNA from 10 species